UUUUUUAUCAGUUAGUUGCCCCGCCUCUGUAGUUUUACCAGGAAUGGGGGGUAAAACUGGAAUUCCUGGAAUUCCUGGAAGGGGAGGGAGAGGAGGAAGUUGUGGCAAUGGUGGAAGAAAAGGGACUGUAGGAAGAGGAGAAAGAUCAGGUAUUGUGGAGUUUUGAGUUAGUUGCCCUGCCUCUGUAGUUUUACCAGGAAUGGGGGGUAAAACUGGAAUUCCUGGAAUUCCUGGAAGUCCUGGAAGGGGAGGGAGAGGAGGAAGUUGUGGCAAUGGUGGAAGAAAAGGGACUGUAGGAAGAGGAGAAAGAUCAGGUAUUGUGGAGGUUUGAGUUAGUUGCCCUGCCUCUGUAGUUUUACCAGGAAUGGGGGGUAAAACUGGAAUUCCUGGAAUUCCUGGAAGUCCUGGAAGGGGAGGGAGAGGAGGAAGUAGUGGCAAUGGUGGAAGAUAAGGGAGUGUAGGAAGAGAUGGAAGAUCAGGUAUUGUGGGGUUUUGAGUUGGUGGUGGAAAUGUGAGCUCAUCAGUUGGAGGAAAUGAGAAUUUCCGAGAACUGAAUUCCUUGGAGUUUUGAAUGCUUGGUUUUUGGUUACAUAGGCUUGGCUGCUUUAGAGGCUUAAAGGUGAAGAACCCAGCUGAGAAAAUGUGUGUUCCUUGCUUUCUUGACUUGAGAUGCAGUGAAGAUGAAGUGGCUAUUGAGGCCACAGCACAAUAUGGUUCACUGCUGCUGAUUAAUUUCACAGAACACCCUUCAAUUUUCUUGACAUGCUUGCUCACAGAGAAAGGCAGAUGAACUCUGAACACUCCAUGGCUAUCUGUUUUCACUUCUGUCUGGAAACUUGGUUUUGAACUCCCAUCUUUGCAUUCAACACCAACAGAAGCCCCUGCAGAAAAAAUAAGUUGAAAAAUAAGUCAACUGAACGCAAAAUUCACAGUAUAAAAAGCACUUUUUAAUUGAGUUGUUGUUGGAAAAUUUGAAAUGAACCUGAAAUGAAGUGGCUGGCAUGUGAGAAUUCUGCUUGGAAACAUGUGUCACAGUAGACAGUGCCUACAACAACUGCAGAUGGGGUCUUCUUCUCAUGGCUAGCUUCUGAGGGAGUACUUAGUGAGAGAGUACUGAUCAAAAAGAGUACUGUAAAAAACCAAGACAUUUUAGAGCAUCUAUUGCCUCUGAGCAACUCUAACUCUAAGAAUGAGUAGAUGUAGGUUGCCUUUUUAUAUAAAUUCCUGAGGCUUAUAGCUGAUAUAAAUAUUCUCUACAGCAUUCAUUAUACACUUUUUUUGUUUCUUUCUGGUUGUUUCGAGGCAUAAAAAAUGAACUUUUUUCUUCAAAUUUUAUAGCCUGCUGGGCCAUCAAGGUAAUUUAUUUCACUCAUGCAAAAACCAGUCAACUGCAAACUAGAAGAAGUGAAUGUAGGUUCAUUUCCUACCACCAAACAACCCAAAAAAGAAGGUUAAUACUGUGAUUGUGAGGUAGAUAUAAAGAGGCCCCUAACUUUUGCUUUGUUUGCUUACAUUUAUUGAGUUUGUUUCUUUGUUUGGUGUAAGAAUUCUAAAGAGAAUAGUUGGGUCCCCGUUGGUUCACGAGACAAGUGGAGUAACCACAAAUUUCAUGAGUCCGAAGCUGUACACUAUCAACAACACAGGUUGAAGAUGUUGUUGGGUUUAUUUAUGUAUGUUCUUCACACAGAAACAAAAUGAUGGGCGCCUACUAUGAGCUGCUCUCAGUAAUAUAUAUCUGUGCAAAUUGAAAAACUCCCCAAGUACCAAACAAAGUUUACAACUCAAUGUAUGGAUCAGAAUCUUAUUAAUAAGGCUUUUUGGUUCAGAAUGUUAUGAUAAUCAUUAGAUUCAUUUAUUACAAUUUGCUUUAAAUUUUCUAAUUGUUUUUAACAAGUCUUUUCAGUGCAGGUGAUCCAUAAAUAGGUAAAGUAAACAGUCAAGUGAUUGCAACCGAAGAGUCUUUUCCUCAGUCUUUUGACACAAAGUUUUCUGACAAAAAAUAAAUAAAUAAAAUUUAGAUUUUAGCAACAAAAAAAUUUUCACUUUUGAAAAAAUCUAAAAAAAUUUCGAAAAAGACAUAAAAACUCCUUAACUUUCAAACCAAAAGACAUGCAAAUAUAAAUGAUUCCUUUGGAAAUCCAAAAAUAAUAAGGGCAUUUUUGUCUAUUUUUGCUUAUUUUCAAAAUAUUUCUCUCUAUUUUGGCAUUUUCCAAAAUAUCCCCAAAAAAAAACGACAAAGUUUAGACAUCAUCAGCAAUUAUAAGUCACUUGAGCACAGAUGUAUAUUCAAUAAUUGGUUUGGUUCAAAAACUACCAAUCUACAUAGUACAAUGAUUGUGGGACUGAUUAUUGGGAAUUUGUGAGACUUAUUUUAGCAGAAAAUGGACAAUGCAUAUGGCAUGCAAUGAUCCAAACUCAAAACAAAGAAGCUACGACUUCCAAGUAUUUGAGCAAUUUCAAGCCAACUCAGAAAUCUCUGUACUCUGUAGGCUUAUAAGACACUCUCCCAUGUGUUGAUGUUGCAUACAGAUUCCCUUUGCAUCAAUAUCCUUCCAUUCCAACAGUCUGUUUUUUUUUUUUUCUUUUUUAAAUUCAAUUUUCCACAUUUUUUACUGUCCGUCAAAUGCAUAGCAUUUUGGGUGAAAAAGAAAAACAAGAACUUCUACUACUGACAAAAGAGACACCAGUCACACCACAGAGGCACAAACUCCAGAAUUAUGAUAAUUACAUCCUGCAUUGGAAAUUGACAGAUUGUCUUCACGUUCCCCACAGUUUUGCAUUGAGCUGCUAACAAUCCCACAAACUUGCACCGUUUCAUUCUUUGUCCGUGGGCCACAAUUUUUGACAAAUUUGACAAUCUAAUAAGGCGGUUCCUGACAAUCCAAGGUUAUCUCCAUGACAACCACAAGCCACUGUUUCACUGUUAUCUUGUGAGGAAAUUGAAAUGUAACACCAAAUUUUCUUUUACACAGUGCAAGAGAUAAUGCAUGUUAAAAGUUAAAAAAACAAAAGGGGGAUGUUUUUGUCUAAUUCUAUGAUGUACAAAACAUCUCUUUGUCCUUCACGGGUUCCAAAACACAAUGUCACCUCUUCACUUCACGGGCGACCUUAAGCCUGUGGGCUGAGGGCCUUCGUGUCUGCUUGUUGAAUGUGGAGUUUUUCAGCCGAUGGAUACCAUUCCCAAAUGGAUACGUCAAGCUUGAAACAUACGAUGAGAUUCUUGAUUAGAUCCUUGAUGGCUUGUCCAUUAUUAUUGAAUUGAAACAACAAAGUUUGAUUGGUAACAAGGUUUGCCAACUCGAAGGGUAAGAUUGUAGCCAAUCAACUAAACUUUUUAGUGUCAGGUGCAUCCACUGAAUGUAAGGUCUCAUAUUUGAUUUACAUAAAUACAAAGAUGAUAUUUAUUUGUGACGGGUGUAUAGCUUUGUUGUGGGUACGCUUCUCAUUGUAAAAGUAUAUUUGUAAUAACAUCAGUAAUUUUUUCUUUUGUAUUAAAUAACAUUAGACACCUCAUUCAUGCAGGGAAGUUCUUUUAUCACAUUGAAUGUAUAAUGUAUAGCAGCAAUUUUCAUCCGUACAAUAAUGUAAUCAUCAGCAUGUGAUAUUUCUGUUUGUUCUUCUAUCUGAGUUUGUAUUUAUUCCAGUCUGAAUGCUUGAUAUGGAGAAAGAAAGUACUUGAUGAGCCAUCUGUCCAUGAAAUCAUUGGUUUCUAAAACAGCAUAAUAUUUGUAGAACAAAACCAUAGAUUAAAUUGUUAGAUUUCUUUAUGCACAAACAAGAUCUUUCACACAAAACUGUAAUACGUAUAAAGACAUGAAGACAUAUCUGGAGCCAUUUUCCUUGAGUACACAGCUUCUAAACUCAUCCAAUCCGUAGCAGCAGCAAUCCUAGCAAGAAUAGGAAUGGCUCAAGACUUCUGCUCUCUCUCAGAAUCUGUUUCAGCUCUCUCUUUAUAAUGAGAAUAGGUUUAAAGAACGUGUCUGAUGAGAGCAGGGCCUUAAGCUUAUAUAGGGCUAGGUCAAGUCGUCUCUAUUCAUCACCUAGGGCUGACUUGACUAAUCUUCCAAGUCCACCAGAUUGGUUCACGCAUAAAUGGAAAUAAAUAGGACCCCUUAAUAGGCCUCAAAACCCUUCCUUAUUUCACUAAGUUUUGGGCCUCAAUGUACAACUUAAUUUAAACUUUUAUUAAAAUAUAAUAUAACUUAGUAUCUAGUACACCGAUCUAAAUAGGAAAACAUAACAUAAAUAAACCCAGCUGCAAGUUUGUAUAUUGGACUGGAGUGGUACCAUUUGCAGAACAAAACAAUGUGAUACAGCGCAAACUAUAUUGGCCAGUUUGCAGAUUCGAAGAAAUAAUGCAAAAUAAUCACAACCAUCAUCUGUAUGCAAAAACAAAAAAACAAAAACAAAAAAAAAACAAAAACAAAAAAAACAAAAAAAAAAAAAAAAAAGAAGAAGAAAGAAAGAACAAUCAACGAUGCUUGUCAUAAAAAACAACUGCAGAUGGGUGCUUCUUCUCAUGGCUAGCUUCAUGAGGGAGUACUUAGUGAGAGAGUACUGAUAAAAAAGAGAACUGUAAAAAACCAAGACAUUUUAAAGCUUCUAUUGCCUCUGAGCA
rnacentral:lncRNA from 1 species